CCUACGGGAGGCAGCAGUGAGGAAUAUUGGUCAAUGGGCGAGAGCCUGAACCAGCCAAGUCGCGUGAGGGAGUACUGCCCUAUGGGUUGUAAACCUCUUUUGUCGGGGAGCAAAAGCCGGACGUGUCCGGCUGUGAGAGUACCCGAAGAAAAAGCAUCGGCUAACUCCGUGCCAGCAGCCGCGGUAAUACGGAGGAUGCGAGCGUUAUCCGGAUUUAUUGGGUUUAAAGGGUGCGUAGGUGGUUUGGCAAGUUAGUAGCGUAACUCCAAGGCUCAACCUUGGAACUACUACUAAAACUGUUGGACUUGAGUGCAGGAGGGGCAACCGGAAUUGCUAGUGUAGCGGUGGAAUGCGUAGAUAUUAGGAGGAACACCAGUGGCGAAGGCGGGUUGCUAGACUGUAACUGACACUGAGGCACGAAAGCGUGGGGAGCAAACAGGAUUAGAUACCCCAGUAGUC
rnacentral:rRNA from 1 species